UAGGGAAUCUUCGGCAAUGGGGGCAACCCUGACCGAGCAACGCCGCGUGAGUGAAGAAGGUCUUCGGAUCGUAAAACUCUGUUGUUAGAGAAGAACACGAGUGAGAGUAACUGUUCAUUCGAUGACGGUAUCUAACCAGCAAGUCACGGCUAACUACGUGCCGG
rnacentral:rRNA from 1 species